rnacentral:lncRNA from 1 species
CAUUUCUACUUCUAUAACUCCCACCAGCAAUGCUACUGCAUGUCUCCACCAAAGAACUAGCGACAGCCAUCAAUAUCAUCCUAUUCGUAGGCCCUUGAACAGCAGUAAUUGUAGCACCACUAGUAUCAACAAUUGUAUCUCGCUUAAACGGAUAAAAUGCACCACCAUUUCCAUCUCUCUUCACCUCUACAACUGACACUUUUAUUGGUGAAUCCCACACUAAAUUUUGAAAAAGAAUGAAUAAA